rnacentral:rRNA from 1 species
GGUGGUAAUGCCGGAUGCUCCAUCACACCGCAUGGUGUGUUGGGAAAGCCUUUGCGGCAUGGGAUGGGGUCGCGUCCUAUCAGCUUGAUGGCGGGGUAACGGCCCACCAUGGCUUCGACGGGUAGCCGGCCUGAGAGGGCGACCGGCCACAUUGGGACUGAGAUACGGCCCAGACUCCUACGGGAGGCAGCAGUGGGGAAUAUUGCACAAUGGGCGCAAGCCUGAUGCAGCGACGCCGCGUGAGGGAUGGAGGCCUUCGGGUUGUAAACCUCUUUUGUUAGGGAGCAAGGCAUUUUGUGUUGAGUGUACCUUUCGAAUAAGCACCGGCUAACUACGUGCCAGCAGCCGCGGUAAUACGUAGGGUGCAAGCGUUAUCCGGAAUUAUUGGGCGUAAAGGGCUCGUAGGCGGUUCGUCGCGUCCGGUGUGAAAGUCCAUCGCUUAACGGUGGAUCCGCGCCGGGUACGGGCGGGCUUGAGUGCGGUAGGGGAGACUGGAAUUCCCGGUGUAACGGUGGAAUGUGUAGAUAUCGG